ACAAGAUCUCUGCCUUGUGGAUCCUCCACCAAUUUUUUUUUAUUGUAAGAAUGACGUUAAGGAGGGAUACUGAACAAACUGCACUUCCCAAUGUUUCCAUGGACAGAAUUUGAGAGUUCAAGGUCAUGGUUAAAUUUAUUAGCAAUACUAGAUUCAUCAGGAACUGGAUGUCAUGCUCUCUCUUUUAAUCUUCAUAUCUUUAGCACCUCUCACAAUGUCUGGCAGAGAACAAGUGCUGGGAGACAAUUCUCCAUGGGCUUCUCACACUCUACACACCUUUCGAGUAGCGUCAUUGACUGCCUUUGUUCUGGACUGCUUUUCAAGGAUGUUUGUAUAAGAAAGUGCUUUGGAAGAGUGAGGAGGUGUCUCCCUCAGGAGCAAUGAGCAGGCGUGCUUACUGUUCAGUAUAAAAGAUUCCAUAAGCUCGGAGUUCCUCUCAAAUGCUGACACUGCCUGCUGCUACUGUGAAUGCCUGACAAAUCUGAGCCUGGAAACCCUUUACCGAAAGGAGGUGAUCCAGUCUUUCUACAUGGCAGAUGGCCAAGCUGCCGCCUGUUACCUCCUGUUAAUAGUGACUCCAAGAGUCUGGCAGAGAGCUGGUGCCAGCCCGUGAAGAAUGAUUCCACCAGUGCCGACUGAAUUUGUGAGCGUUUGUGAUGCAACAGAAGUGGAGACAAGACAGGAGUGUGUUUGCUCUUACUGGAAUAGGCUGAAUUUCACUUCCAGAAGAGGAAAAGCUAAAAGUAUAAGGAAAGGCAAGAGCCAAAGAAGUCUCAGAGAGAGAGUUUUGCUGGGGGUGUGGACGGAGGAGUGGUGAGAGAUCCAGGGCUGCUUAGAGAAAUAACUGAUUCCAGGUCUAGAGGGCAGGAAACAUACAAGAUGAGUCUGCUGCAUCUUGUUAUUUGGGUAGCAAGGACGUUGCCAGAGACCACGAGGGCCAACGCAACAGGACUCAGGCUCCAGCCUGAGGAAGCUCCCACCGACCAGAGAGCAUCAUCCUGAGCAUCCGUAAGGACAGCACUCGCAAUGCCCUGAAGUGCAUUAUGAACUCCGUGUUCACAGUGAUAGUAAAGGAAAUAAAAAUUAAUUGGUCAUACUGGGAGGAUGCUGGGGAACCACCUCAUUAUUUUGGACACUGGUAAACCAAGAAAAAGAAUCUCGCAUUUACCCUAACUUUCUUAUUCAAACUGUGCUAUUGGGUCACCAAACAAUAGACAAGGGGAAGUUUCACUUCUUAAAAAGUAAUGCAGCUAAUCAAUGAAGAUGCAAUGAUAGAAUGUAACUAUUGGUAGCUCCCAAGGAAUUAUUUGUCUAGGCGUUGACCAUCAAAGGCUGGGAGCAAGGCCGAAAAGGAAACAGCCAGGCCUGAGUUGCCUCCCCGUGAAACAACGCAAUCCCACGUAAAAUGUUGUCUUGCCAAAAAAAGAACUUGAGUCUAACAAGGCCUCCAGGUCCGACUGCCAAUUUACAGGAAAUUUACGGGAAAUACGGACAAACGUGUUAAACAAUAUACUUUCCCGAUUGUGGGGUACUCUACAGCUUUCUUCAACAAAGAACCUGGAAGGGAGGAAACAAAAGAGGUGGAGGGUGCCCUUUGGAAACAUGCCAACCAACAACAGUCUGUAGACCUUAUCUGGAUCUUGAUUCUAUCAUAUAAACUGCAGAAACGAAGCAAAACAACUUUUAUAACAUUUAUGAGACAAAUGGAAAUUUGAACGCUGGAAGCAUAUUUGAUGAUAGUAAGGACUUAUUGUUACCAACUGUGAUAUUUUACAUAAUGCUAUGGUGGUUAUGUUUUUAAAAAGUCCUUCUCUUUUAAAGGUACAUCCUGAAAACCUACAGUAAAAUAGUGUGGUAUCUGGAAUAUGCUUCAAAGAACAUGGAAGAGAGGGAGCAGUCGAGGUACUGACGUAGCGAGAUUGCCCUUGGAUGAUGGUUGGAGCUGGGUGAGGGGAUCUGCCGUGGC
ensembl:lncRNA